ACUUUUGAGAGUUUGAUCCUGGCUCAGAACGAACGCUGGCGGCGCGCCUAACACAUGCAAGUCGAACGAGAAUCCGGGGCAACCCGGUAGUAAAGUGGCAAACGGGUGAGGAAUGCAUGGGUAACCUGUCCUUGAGAAGGGAAUAACCCGCCGAAAGGUGAGCUAAUACCCUAUACGCUUCGCUUUUUUUGAAAAGUGAAGGAAAGUCAAGCCGUGGGCU
rnacentral:rRNA from 1 species